CUUAAAGAAGACUCCAAGUGUCCUUCAUUGUGUAAUGACAAGGAAUUAACCCUGUUGUCGACGAGCAAGACAACGCCACAGAGAGAAACCGAGUACAGUGACAGAGCCGUCUGCAGCCGCCGAAGCUUAGCGCCACCACUGCCAUGUCGGCGAUGUUUGCAGAAGUCCAGCACGUUGGCACGUACCAGCCGAAGAUUGUGCAUGGUCUUCAGCUGAGCUCCUGAAGAAAGCUGACAGGAUGGAUGGCUUGAAAGGACAACAAAGCUGCCAAGUUCCACACUGACAGAAAGAUAGGAACCUAAUUCCAUUUAAUAAUUGACUCAAAAAUGUUAAUGUGGCUAACGA